rnacentral:rRNA from 1 species
GAUGAACGCUGGCGGCGUGCCUAAUACAUGCAAGUCGAGCGAAUGGAUUAAGAGCUUGCUCUUAUGAAGUUAGCGGCGGACGGGUGAGUAACACGUGGGUAACCUGCCCAUAAGACUGGGAUAAAUCCGGGAAACCGGGGCUAAUACCGGAUAAUAUUUUGAACUGCAUGGUUCAAAAUUGAAAGGCGGCUUCGGCUGUCACUUAUGGAUGGACCCGCGUCGCAUUAGCUAGUUGGUGAGGUAACGGCUCACCAAGGCAACGAUGCGUAGCCGAACUGAGAGGGUGAUCGGCCACACUGGGACUGAGACACGGCCCAGACUCCUACGGGAGGCAGCAGUAGGGAAUCUUCCGCAAUGGACGAAAGUCUGACGGAGCAACGCCGCGUGAGUGAUGAAGGCUUUCGGGUCGUAAAACUCUGUUGUUAGGGAAGAACAAGUGCUAGUUGAAUAAGCUGGCACCUUGACGGUACCUAACCAGAAAGCCACGGCUAACUACGUGCCAGCAGCCGCGGUAA